UACGAAGGGGGCGUAGCGUUGCUCGGAAUUACUGGGCGUAAAGGGCGCGUAGGCGGACAGUUUAGUCAGAGGUGAAAGCCCCAGGGCUCAACCUUGGAAUAGCCUUUGAUACUGACUGUCUUGAGUACGGGAGAGGUGUGUGGAACUCCGAGUGUAGAGGUGAAAUUCGUAGAUAUUCGGAAGAACACCAGUGGCGAAGGCGACACACUGGCCCGUUACUGACGCUGAGGCGCGAAAGCGUGGGGAGCAAACAGGAUUAGAUACCCCGGUAGU
rnacentral:rRNA from 1 species